AGCGUGCGCAGGCGGUUAUGUAAGACAGAUGUGAAAUCCCCGGGCCUCAACCUGGGAACUGCAUUUGUGACUGCAUGGCUAGAGUACGGUAGAGGGGGGAUGGAAUUCCGCGUGUAGCAGUGAAAUGCGUAGAUAUGCGGAGGAACACCGAUGGCGAAGGCAAUCCCCUGGACCUGUACUGACGCUCAUGCACGAAAGCGUGGGGAGCAAACAGGAUUAGAUACCCUAGU
rnacentral:rRNA from 1 species